UGCUGGGUGGAUUAGUGGCGAACGGGUGAGUAACACGUGAGUAACCUGCCCCUGACUCUGGGAUAAGCGUUGGAAACGACGUCUAAUACUGGAUAUGACUGCCGGCCGCAUGGUCUGGUGGUGGAAAGAUUUUUUGGUUGGGGAUGGACUCGCGGCCUAUCAGCUUGUUGGUGAGGUAAUGGCUCACCAAGGCGACGACGGGUAGCCGGCCUGAGAGGGUGACCGGCCACACUGGGACUGAGACACGGCCCAGACUCCUACGGGAGGCAGCAGUGGGGAAUAUUGCACAAUGGGCGAAAGCCUGAUGCAGCAACGCCGCGUGAGGGAUGACGGCCUUCGGGUUGUAAACCUCUUUUAGUAGGGAAGAAGCGUAAGUGACGGUACCUGCAGAAAAAGCACCGGCUAACUACGUGCCAGCAGCCGCGGUAAUACGUAGGGUGCAAGCGUUGUCCGGAAUUAUUGGGCGUAAAGAGCUCGUAGGCGGUUUGUCGCGUCUGCUGUGAAAUCCCGAGGCUCAACCUCGGGCUUGCAGUGGGUACGGGCAGACUAGAGUGCGGUAGGGGAGAUUGGAAUUCCUGGUGUAGCGGUGGAAUGCGCAGAUAUCAGGAGGAACACCGAUGGCGAAGGCAGAUCUCUGGGCCGUAACUGACGCUGAGGAGCGAAAGCGUGGGGAGCGAACAGGAUUAGAUACCCUGGUAGUCCACGCCGUAAACGUUGGGCGCUAGAUGUAGGGACCUUUCCACGGUUUCUGUGUCGUAGCUAACGCAUUAAGCGCCCCGCCUGGGGAGUACGGCCGCAAGGCUAAAACUCAAAGGAAUUGACGGGGGCCCGCACAAGCGGCGGAGCAUGCGGAUUAAUUCGAUGCAACGCGAAGAACCNUUACCAAGGCUUGACAUACACCGGAAACGGCCAGAGAUGGNUUGCCCCCUUGUGGUCGGUGUACAGGUGGUGCAUNGGUUGUCGUCAGCUCGUGUCGUGAGAUGUUGGGUUAAGUCCCGCAACGAGCGCAACCCUCGUUCUAUGUUGCCAGCGCGUUAUGGCGGGGACUCAUAGGAGACUGCCGGGGUCAACUCGGAGGAAGGUGGGGAUGACGUCAAAUCAUCAUGCCCCUUAUGUCUUGGGCUUCACGCAUGCUACAAUGGCCGGUACAAAGGGCUGCGAUACCGUAAGGUGGAGCGAAUCCCAAAAAGCCGGUCUCAGUUCGGAUUGAGGUCUGCAACUCGACCUCAUGAAGUCGGAGUCGCUAGUAAUCGCAGAUCAGCAACGCUGCGGUGAAUACGUUCCCGGGCCUUGUACACACCGCCCGUCAAGUCAUGAAAGUCGGUAACA
rnacentral:rRNA from 1 species